rnacentral:rRNA from 1 species
AAUCAACGCUGGCGGCGUGCCUAACACAUGCAAGUCGAGCGGGAAAGGGGGCUUCGGUCCCUGAGUAUAGCGGCGGACGGGUGAGUAACACGUGGGUAAUUUGCCCUUGGGUGUGGAAUAACUCAGGGAAACUUGAGCUAAUACCGCAUGACAUCCCCUUCUCACAGGAGUUGGGGGAUCAAAGCCGGGGACCCUUCGGGGCCUGGCGCCUGAGGAGAAGCCCGCGCCCGAUUAGCUAGUUGGGAGGUAAUGGCUCACCAAGGCUUCGAUCGGUAGCCGGCCUGAGAGGGCGGACGGCCACACUGGGACUGAGACACGGCCCAGACUCCUACGGGAGGCAGCAGUGGGGAAUUUUUGUCAAUGGGGGAAACCCUGAACAAGCAACGCCGCGUGGAGGACGACGACCU